GUGAACGCUGGCGGUAGGCCUAACACAUGCAAGUCGAACGGCAGCACAGUAAGAGCUUGCUCUUACGGGUGGCGAGUGGCGGACGGGUGAGGAAUACAUCGGAAUCUACUUUUUCGUGGGGGAUAACGUAGGGAAACUUACGCUAAUACCGCAUACGACCUACGGGUGAAAGCAGCGAUCUUCGGACCUUGCGCGAUUGAAUGAGCCGAUGUCGGAUUAGCUAGUUGGCGGGGUAAAGGCCCACCAAGGCGACGAUCCGUAGCUGGUCUGAGAGGAUGAUCAGCCACACUGGAACUGAGACACGGUCCAGACUCCUACGGGAGGCAGCAGUGGGGAAUAUUGGACAAUGGGCGCAAGCCUGAUCCAGCCAUACCGCGUGGGUGAAGAAGGCCUUCGGGUUGUAAAGCCCUUUUGUUGGGAAAGAAAAGCAGCAGGUUAAUACCCCGCUGUUCUGACGGUACCCAAAGAAUAAGCACCGGCUAACUUCGUG
rnacentral:rRNA from 1 species